UAGCUCAGUUGGUAGAGCAUGGUGUUUGCAAGACCAGGGUUGUGGGUUCGAUUCCCAC
rfam:Salmo salar isolate Sally breed double haploid chromosome ssa14, whole genome shotgun sequence.